rnacentral:rRNA from 1 species
CACGUAGGGGGCGAGCGUUGUCCGGAUUCAUUGGGCGUAAAGGGCGCGCAGGCGGCCCGGAAAGUCGGAUGUGGAAACUCGAGGCUCAACCUCGAGCGUGCACCCGAUACUGCCGGGCUUGAGGCAGGUAGGGGAGAUCGGAAUUCCUGGUGUAGCGGUGAAAUGCGCAGAUAUCAGGAGGAACACCGGUGGCGAAGGCGGCUAUCUGGACAGAAACUGACGCUGAGGCGCGAAAGCUAGGGGAGCAAACAGG